rnacentral:rRNA from 1 species
UACGUAGGGUGCAAGCGUUAAUCGGAAUUACUGGGCGUAAAGCGUGCGCAGGCGGUUAUGCAAGACAGAUGUGAAAUCCCCGGGCUUAACCUGGGAACUGCAUUUGUGACUGCAUGGCUGGAGUACGGCAGAGGGGGAUGGAAUUCCGCGUGUAGCAGUGAAAUGCGUAGAUAUGUGGAGGAACACCGAUGGCGAAGGCAGCCCCCUGGGUCAACACUGACGCUCAUGCACGAAAGCGUGGGGAGCAAACAGG